AGCCAGAAAAUCUGCCUAAGCACGAUCACUGCCCCAUACCUAAAAAGUUGCUCUGAGCACGGACUUCAAACCAGGUCUCCCACAUCUCAGAAACUGCAAUUUUGCAGGAUUAAAAGGAAGGAUCAGACAGAUACAACUCAUAAGAAAAGUACAUGUUCCCUUUAACUGCAGGAGCAAACUAAUAAGGGGACUACAUAUUUUGCAACCAGGCACAAAUAAUGCUUUCCAGUAAACUAGCUGGAACUGUGCAGUUUGUUGUAGUACCAGUGAUGGAGCCACCAAAAAUGUUAUAAUGUUUAAGAAACAGAUACUGUAAUUUAUUUUCCAAGGGUAAAAUCUGUUAAUGUUCUCUGCCCUUGUGUACACUGACAAUCUUCUAACCUAAGCAGUCUGCAGCAGAUAAAUCUCUACUUCAGCAAUUUAAAUAUGAUGGAUAUGAAAGUGAAGAUGAAAAAAAUUGGCUUUGUCAAAAGUAGUGAAGAAAUACUUGUUUGAAUAUUUUCUAUAAAAUGUAAUCACUUAGUUGCUGUCAUUUGUAAGAUUUCUUACCCUCUUGAUUUUAUUUGUUACUCAUUUGGCUUUAGUUGAUCUAUUUUAGUUUUGUACAUGUUUCGGCAUUUGAAAAUUUGAAUUCAGAAACCA